UUGAAUGGUCAAGCGAACAAGGGCGCAGGGCGAAUGCCUUGGCACUGGGAGCCGAUGAAAGACGUGAUAAGCUGCGAUAAGCUUCGGGGAGCUGCAAAUAAGCAUUGAUCCGGAGAUUUCUGAAUGAGGAAACUCACCUGGGUUCAUACUCAGGUACAAUACACUGAAAUUUAAAAUAGGUGUAUUGAGGGAACCGCCUGAACUGAAACAUCUAAGUAGGGCGAGGAAGAGACAUCAAACGAGAUUCCGUAAGUAGUGGCGAGCGAACGCGGAAGAGGGC
rnacentral:rRNA from 1 species